CUUGCUGAUCUUAUCUUUCUUGAAAGUUCAGCAAGGUUGGUCCUGGUUAGUACUUGUAGAGGAGACUGCUCAGGAACCCCAGGAUUGAUGGGU
rnacentral:rRNA from 1 species